rnacentral:rRNA from 1 species
AGUGAACGCUGGCGGUAGGCCUAACACAUGCAAGUCGAACGGCAGCACAGUAAGAGCUUGCUCUUACGGGUGGCGAGUGGCGGACGGGUGAGGAAUACAUCGGAAUCUACUUUUUCGUGGGGGAUAACGUAGGGAAACUUACGCUAAUACCGCAUACGACCUACGGGUGAAAGCAGGGGAUCUUCGGACCUUGCGCGAUUGAAUGAGCCGAUGUCGGAUUAGCUAGUUGGCGGGGUAAAGGCCCACCAAGGCGACGAUCCGUAGCUGGUCUGAGAGGAUGAUCAGCCACACUGGAACUGAGAAACGGGCCAGACUCCUAAGGGAGGCAGCAGUGGGGAAUAUUGGACAAUGGGCGCAAGCCUGAUCCAGCCAUACCGCGUGGGUGAAGAAGGCCUUCGGGUUGUAAAGCCCUUUUGUUGGGAAAGAAAAGCAGCAGGUUAAUACCCCGCUGUUCUGACGGUACCCAAAGAAUAAGCACCGGCUAACUUCGUG